AUGCUUAAGAUAGACCUUGCUAAAGCUUUUGAUCGACUAGAAUGGAACUUUAUUGUGUCUGCUCUUGCGCGUAAAGGGCUGCAUGGUCAUUUUAUUAAUUUGGUACAUGCAUGCAUCUCUUCUCCUACUUUAUCAGUGCUUAUUAACGGGCAGCCUUCUCAUAAAUUUAGAAGCUUCAGAGGUAUUCGCCAGGUUUGCCCCAUGUCUCCUUAUUUGUUUCUUAUUGCUAUAAAUGAAUUAUCCAUUGCUCUCAAUGAAGCUCUUGUAGCUCAUCAUCUUCAGGGAAUUUCACUUGGUCCAAAUUGUCCUUCUAUUCACUCCUUGUUGUUUGCAGAUGACUUGUUGGUUUGUGGUCAGGCCACUCUGCAGGAGGCUGCUAUGGCUCAUCUUAUCCAUCAUUUUUGCUAUGUCUCAGGUCAAACUCCAAAUUGGGCC
rnacentral:rRNA from 1 species